rnacentral:rRNA from 1 species
UCCUACGGGAGGCAGCAGUCGAGAAUCAUUCACAAUGGGGGAAACCCUGAUGGUGCGACGCCGCGUGGGGGAAUGAAGGUCUUCGGAUUGUAAACCCCUGUCAUGUGGGAGCAAAUUAAAAAGAUAGUACCACAAGAGGAAGAGACGGCUAACUCUGUGCCAGCAGCCGCGGUCAUACAGAGGUCUCAAGCGUUGUUCGGAAUCACUGGUCGUAAAGCGUGCGUAGGCUGUUUCGUAAGUCGUGUGUGAGAGGCGCGGGCUCAACCCUCGGACGGCACCUGAUACUGCGAGACUAGAGCAGUGGG